rnacentral:tRNA from 1 species
GCUCUCAUCGUUUAAUGGUUAAGACAAUGCUUUUUCGUAGCAUAAAUGUGAGUUCAAAUCUCAUUGAGAGUUGUCGUA